CUAGACUUCAUUACUGACAUCCUUCUGAAUUCUACUUUUAUUCCAGCAAACCUGUCUGCACUCCUACAUCACACAAACUCUAGAAAAGCAUGUCAGUCCCUUAGCCUAAGAACCCACAGAGCCAAGGAGCAGGGGGACAGUGCACAUUUCUGGGAAGAUAGCAGCUUACAUAGGGUAGCUGUUUUUGUCUUUAACCACUUCCUCCUAUUUUAUAACUUCCACUCUCCAAGUUGGAGACAUUAAGCUGUCAGGUAAGCCACUCAUAUCCGGAGGUCCAGUAUUAUAUUGUUACAUAAUUUAAAUCAAAGCCUGUGCAACAAACAUUAUCCCUAGUUUACAAAUGAGAAAAUUGUGACUCAAAGGGUAAAGCACUUGCUCAAGGAUGACCUAUGGUUGAUUCUCUCUCCAUAACCUUCCAAAGCUGGAGUACUGAGAACUGAUCCCUGACUCUCCUCAGUAUGAGUUCUACAAAAAUGUAGUUAUAUCAUAGUUGCACGUACUUAAAAAUGCUAUAAUUUUACAUGGGAGCAGAGGAAGACUGAAUAAAAUGUAAAAUUAGAAGUAUUAUUUCUCUUCUUUAGUAAUCCAUACUUUUAACACUCUGCUUUCAUGUGUGGACAGUCAUGACACAGAUGUCACUUGUAUUAGAGGAAAGGUUACCCAGAGAUCUACCUGACCCAAGCCUUUGAUGAUGGCCCGCUGACUAGGCACAGUGUUCAGGAUCCAAGGAAAAGCUAAGCCCCACUUAGUGCUUCCAGUAAGCAAGAUGGAUUGGCUCUCUGCUGUGAUAGAGGGUUGUUUUAGAGUCUGGGACCUUGUCUGAGAAUUCUUUGUAGUUCCAGAGAGUAAAAGGCAGAACAUUUAUUUCUAAUGUUUCCAAUCAUACAUAGAGCCCUUCCAGCGGGUCUUUUGAGAAGGCCCAUUUAGCUUUCAAUCUCCUGACAAU
rnacentral:lncRNA from 1 species